rnacentral:rRNA from 1 species
GGGUUGUGAGGUUAAGCGACUAAGCGUACACGGUGGAUGCCCUGGCAGUCAGAGGCGAUGAAGGACGUGCUAAUCUGCGAAAAGCGUCGGUAAGGUGAUAUGAACCGUUAUAACCGGCGAUGUCCGAAUGGGGAAACCCAGUGCAAUUCGUUGCACUAUCGUUAACUGAAUACAUAGGUUAACGAGGCGAACCGGGGGAACUGAAACAUCUAAGUACCCCGAGGAAAAGAAAUCAACCGAGAUUCCCCCAGUAGCGGCGAGCGAACGGGGAGCAGCCCAGAGUCUGAAUCAGCUUGUGUGUUAGUGGAACGGUCUGGAAAGUCCGACGGUACAGGGUGAUAGUCCCGUACACCAAAAUGCACAGGCUGUGAACUCGAAGAGUAGGGCGGGACACGUGGUAUCCUGUCUGAAUAUGGGGGGACCAUCCUCCAAGGCUAAAUACUCCUGACUGACCGAUAGUGAACCAGUACCGUGAGGGAAAGGCGAAAAGAACCCCGGCGAGGGGAGUGAAAAAGAACCUGAAACCGUGUACGUACAAGCAGUGGGAGCACCUUCGGGUGUGACUGCGUACCUUUUGUAUAAUGGGUCAGCGACUUAUAUUCUGUAGCAAGGUUAACCGUAUAGGGGAGCCGCAGGGAAACCGAGUCUUAACUGGGCGUUAAGUUGCAGGGUAUAGACCCGAAACCCGGUGAUCUAGCCAUGGGCAGGUUGAAGGUUGGGUAACACUAACUGGAGGACCGAACCGACUAAUGUUGAAAAAUUAGCGGAUGACUUGUGGCUGGGGGUGAAAGGCCAAUCAAACCGGGAGAUAGCUGGUUCUCCCCGAAAGCUAUUUAGGUAGCGCCUCGUGAAUUCAUCUUCGGGGGUAGAGCACUGUUUCGGCUAGGGGGUCAUCCCGACUUACCAACCCGAUGCAAACUACGAAUACCGAAGAAUGUUAUCACGGGAGACACACGGCGGGUGCUAACGUCCGUCGUGAAGAGGGAAACAACCCAGACCGCCAGCUAAGGUCCCAAAGUCAUGGUUAAGUGGGAAACGAUGUGGGAAGGCACAGACAGCCAGGAUGUUGGCUUAGAAGCAGCCAUCAUUUAAAGAAAGCGUAAUAGCUCACUGGUCGAGUCGGCCUGCGCGGAAGAUGUAACGGGGCUAAACCAUGCACCGAAGCUGCGGCAGCGACACUAUGUGUUGUUGGGUAGGGGAGCGUUCUGUAAGCCUGCGAAGGUGUGCUGUGAGGCAUGCUGGAGGUAUCAGAAGUGCGAAUGCUGACAUAAGUAACGAUAAAGCGGGUGAAAAGCCCGCUCGCCGGAAGACCAAGGGUUCCUGUCCAACGUUAAUCGGGGCAGGGUGAGUCGACCCCUAAGGCGAGGCCGAAAGGCGUAGUCGAUGGGAAACAGGUUAAUAUUCCUGUACUUGGUGUUACUGCGAAGGGGGGACGGAGAAGGCUAUGUUAGCCGGGCGACGGUUGUCCCGGUUUAAGCAUGUAGGCUGGUUAUCCAGGCAAAUCCGGAUAAUCAAGGCUGAGGUGUGAUGACGAGGCACUACGGUGCUGAAGUAACAAAUGCCCUGCUUCCAGGAAAAGCCUCUAAGCAUCAGGUAACAUCAAAUCGUACCCCAAACCGACACAGGUGGUCAGGUAGAGAAUACCAAGGCGCUUGAGAGAACUCGGGUGAAGGAACUAGGCAAAAUGGUGCCGUAACUUCGGGAGAAGGCACGCUGGUGUGUAGGUGAAGUCCCUGCGGAUGGAGCUGAGACCAGUCGAAGAUACCAGCUGGCUGCAACUGUUUAUUAAAAACACAGCACUGUGCAAACACGAAAGUGGACGUAUACGGUGUGACGCCUGCCCGGUGCCGGAAGGUUAAUUGAUGGGGUUAUCCGUAAGGAGAAGCUCUUGAUCGAAGCCCCGGUAAACGGCGGCCGUAACUAUAACGGUCCUAAGGUAGCGAAAUUCCUUGUCGGGUAAGUUCCGACCUGCACGAAUGGCGUAAUGAUGGCCAGGCUGUCUCCACCCGAGACUCAGUGAAAUUGAACUCGCUGUGAAGAUGCAGUGUACCCGCGGCAAGACGGAAAGACCCCGUGAACCUUUACUAUAGCUUGACACUGAACAUUGAGCCUUGAUGUGUAGGAUAGGUGGGAGGCUUUGAAGCGUGGACGCCAGUCUGCGUGGAGCCAACCUUGAAAUACCACCCUUUAAUGUUUGAUGUUCUAACGUUGGCCCCUGACCGGGGUUGCGGACAGUGUCUGGUGGGUAGUUUGACUGGGGCGGUCUCCUCCCAAAGCGUAACGGAGGAGCACGAAGGUUAGCUAAUCCUGGUCGGACAUCAGGAGGUUAGUGCAAUGGCAUAAGCUAGCUUGACUGCGAGCGUGACGGCGCGAGCAGGUGCGAAAGCAGGUCAUAGUGAUCCGGUGGUUCUGAAUGGAAGGGCCAUCGCUCAACGGAUAAAAGGUACUCCGGGGAUAACAGGCUGAUACCGCCCAAGAGUUCAUAUCGACGGCGGUGUUUGGCACCUCGAUGUCGGCUCAUCACAUCCUGGGGCUGAAGUAGGUCCCAAGGGUAUGGCUGUUCGCCAUUUAAAGUGGUACGCGAGCUGGGUUUAGAACGUCGUGAGACAGUUCGGUCCCUAUCUGCCGUGGGCGCUGGAGAAUUGAGGGGGGCUGCUCCUAGUACGAGAGGACCGGAGUGGACGCAUCACUGGUGUUCGGGUUGUCAUGCCAAUGGCACUGCCCGGUAGCUAAAUGCGGAAGAGAUAAGUGCUGAAAGCAUCUAAGCACGAAACUUGCCCCGAGAUGAGUUCUCCCUGAGACUUUAAGUCUCCUGAAGGAACGUUGAAGACGACGACGUUGAUAGGCCGGGUGUGUAAGCGCAGCGAUGCGUUGAGCUAACCGGUACUAAUGAACCGUGAGGCUUAACCUUACAACGCCGAAG